rnacentral:lncRNA from 1 species
GGGGCUCAACCUGCGCUAGCGGAGGAGGUCCGGGUAACUCCCUUCUCUCCUCUUGCCUUUGCUGGGCAGCUACGAGAGCCUCCACCAUCUCAAAUAGUCUGUCUAAAUCCUCCCGAAGCGAAUUAUCUUGGCCGCUUGGUUUAGUGGGGGCCUUCCUCUCCUCAUUCCCGUGUACUCGUUUUCACAAGGAAUGAUUGAGUAACGAUAUAUCGGUGAGUAUUACUCUAAGGCAUUAUUGUGUAAGGGAUGGGUCCGAGGAAAUGCGGCUCUGAUACCA